rnacentral:rRNA from 1 species
UAAUACGGAGGGUGCAAGCGUUAAUCGGAAUUACUGGGCGUAAAGCGCACGCAGGCGGUCUGUCAAGUCGGAUGUGAAAUCCCCGGGCUCAACCUGGGAACUGCAUUCGAAACUGGCAGGCUUGAGUCUUGUAGAGGGGGGUAGAAUUCCAGGUGUAGCGGUGAAAUGCGUAGAGAUCUGGAGGAAUACCGGUGGCGAAGGCGGCCCCCUGGACAAAGACUGACGCUCAGGUGCGAAAGCGUGGGGAGCAAACAGGAUUAGAUACCCUGGUAGUCCACGCCGUAAACGAUGUCUACUUGGAGGUUGUGCCCUUGAGGCGUGGCUUCCGGAGCUAACGCGUUAAGUAGACCGCCUGGGGAGUACGGCCGCAAGGUUAAAACUCAAAUGAAUUGACGGGGGCCCGCACAAGCGGUGGAGCAUGUGGUUUAAUUCGAUGCAACGCGAAGAACC